UGUGUUUCUGGACCUGUGCCCUUCAGCC
rnacentral:piRNA from 1 species